AUUUUUUAUUGUAUACUAUACACUGUAAAUAGUAUUAUAUAGAAAUUCUGGAUUCUACUACUUUUCUUUGAAAAGUGUUGACUUGCUUUAAUAUACAGUUAAUUUAUAGGGUGGAUCAUGUUGAUUCUGUCUAGUCUUUCUUUUAGGAUUCAUUAGUGUGAGUUCCUAGUGAGAACAUAGCCAUUAACCUGGCAUGUGGUUAUUAAUACAUGGCCUUUCUAGGAUUUCAUUGGAAAUCCUGAAUGAAAGCUGAUGAAACAAAACAAGAUUAAGUCCUUAACAAGGGCAGUGGCAGUAGGAAGGAAGGUAGUAGGCAAAUGUUUGAUAGGUCUUGGGGGAUACUGUAUGUGAGGGGUAAAAACAGGGAAGGAUAUGGGAUAGAAAAUUAAAAAGUGGAAGCAGGUUUUUUAGGGAAAAGAGGAAGAAGAGGAGGAGGCCAGUUUUGGACAGAUUUAUGCUGAGGGAUCAAUGGGAAGCUAGGUGGCAAUGUCUAGAAGGAAAUAUAUAUGAAUGUGCAUAUCAAAAGAGUAGUUUGAAUUAAAAUAUAGAUUUGGAAGUUAUUAGUAAAUUGAAGAUCAUUAAAGGCACAGAAAUGCAUAAGGUCAUCUAUUAAGGAGAUGGCUUCUUAAAAUGUGACCUAGGGACUACUUGCAGCAGAAUUACCUCCUUGUUAAGAACAGAUUCCUUGGAUCCAGCACAAUGCAAGGAAAUUACAAUUUUGGGGUAUGAGGCCAGGGAACUGCAUUUUAAAAACUCCUCAAGUUAUUCUUUUGUACAGUAAAAUUUGAGAUCCCCUGGUAAAGAAUGAUAAGAGAAAAGAUUAAUGCACAGAACGCUGAAGAAAACCAAAUGCCUUAAAUAUGUCAAGUAGGCUGGUGGCCGAGAAGUGCUCUUCCAAUUUAGUUAAGUCAAAGCAAAGUAGAAAUAGACUGAAUGGGCAGAUGACAAGCAGAUUUGUCUGAAUGCCAGGUAAGAAGACUGGAGUUAAUUGGAUAUGUUCAUACAAGGGCUUGGGCUUGGAAUAAGAAAGUUCUAUAAUGGAUUCUGAGCAACUGGUAUAGCUGCUGGGAAUGGGAAGAACUUACUCAUCACCACCUGAAUAAGUCUGCCUCCUGGGGCUUUUCCUCUAAGUGGAUUCUGCUAUGCCAUUUUUAGUCAUUAACAUUUUAGCUGAAAUUACUCCCUC
rnacentral:lncRNA from 1 species